rnacentral:rRNA from 1 species
GACGUAGGGCGCGAGCGUUGUCCGGAAUUAUUGGGCGUAAAGGGCUCGUAGGCGGUUUGUCGCGUCGGGAGUGAAAAUCCAGGGCUUAACUCUGGACUGGCUUCCGAUACGGGCAGACUAGAGGUAUGCAGGGGAGAACGGAAUUCCUGGUGUAGCGGUGAAAUGCGCAGAUAUCAGGAGGAACACCGGUGGCGAAGGCGGUUCUCUGGGCAUUACCUGACGCUGAGGAGCGAAAGUGUGGGGAGCGAACAGG